rnacentral:tRNA from 1 species
GCCGAUAUAGCUCAGUUGGUAGAGCAAUGUAUUCGUAAUACAGUGGUCAAGGGUUCAAUUCCCUUUAUCGGCA